GCCCAUCUGUCACCGUUUUAAAAGGGCCAUAUGACCUUUCACCACCUUCCCCCCAUUUCUUCUUCUUACCAUCCCUGUGCCUCUAUCUUUCCAUGCCCGGCCCAGCCGCCGACCCACCAUCGUUGUCAUCGUCCUCUACGCACUAGUCCUGCAUCCAAUAUCAGUCAAGCUAUAGUGGGCGGUACCUUUUGUGCUUAAAUUAUAGGCUAUCCCUACCAUGGACGGCAGAUUCAACAGUAACCCAUUUGUUAGUGAACAAGAAGAGCAGGAAAACUCACCGGAAAAUAGUGGAGACUCGCCACCUUCUCCUAUGUUUAAUGAUGCAAAGAUCUCUUCUUCUACGUCUUCCCCCAAACGAAGGUUUGUAUCACCACCCAAUUAUACAUAUUGCUUCGUUUUCUUUGCAUGAAUUACUGAGAUUCCGUGUAAGAAGCAUAGUCUGAUAAGAAUAGGAUAUGGGGUUUGUUUCAGUAGGCGAGCCAUGCAAAAGAGAGUGGUGUCAGUGCCCAUCAAGGAUGUGGAAGGCUCACGAGUCAAGGGGGACUGUGCUCCACCAUCCGAUUCAUGGGCUUGGAGGAAGUAUGGUCAGAAGCCCAUCAAAGGCUCUCCAUAUCCCAGGUAAAUUGUUGCUCUUCUUCCGGCCAGAUUAAUGCUUUUGGGUAAUGCAUUACAGAGAAGCUAGGGUUUAUUAUGAUUAUGGGAAUUAACGGGGGCGAUUGGGUAAAAUUUGCAGAGGGUAUUACAGGUGCAGCAGUUCAAAAGGCUGCCCAGCUAGGAAGCAAGUUGAGAGAAGCCGCGUGGACCCCACCAUGCUUGUUGUGACGUACUCUUGCGAACACAACCAUCCAUGGCCGGCUUCUAGAAACCACCACAACACCACCAAUCCCCCCACCACGGCGGCCGCCACCCCUACUCCCACCUCGGCGCCUGCUACUCCUCCCUCACCCAAACCAGCAAUUUUCUCAAGCCAAGCCGAACCCGACCCGGACGAAAAGUUCACUGACCUAGGCGAGGAAUCGCUGAUCACAACCGAAGAUUUCACCUGGUUUUCGG
rnacentral:lncRNA from 1 species